rnacentral:tRNA from 1 species
GGAGAGGUGGCAGAGUGGUCUAAUGCGGCGGUCUUGAAAACCGUUAUCUCGAGCGAUCGGGAUCGAGGGUUCGAAUCCCUCCCUCUCCUCCA